rnacentral:lncRNA from 1 species
CUUUCCCUAUUUCAGAGCUCACCACUGUAUUCUAAACAGAAGCCAAUAGAGGGAGAAAAACAAAGCCAAGUGCAAAAGCUGUGGGCACUGAAAGUUUUGCUCCACCGGCCGCGCAGCACCCACUUGGGGUCGGGCUUUGGGACUUGGGGGAGUCAGGAGCAGGCGGGGGCUGGGGAGAGGACGAGGCCCUGGGGAGGGGCUGGAAAAGGCUUUUCACAGCGACUGGCACUUGAUAUUUCCAAGUCUUCUGGAUGUCACUCACCGGAAACCAGACCCUGCGGUGCGAAGACUCAGGACUCUGUGAUGUGGUGAGCUGGCCUUAUUCACCUUCUCCAUACCUUUCGAGGAUUUGGAUGCGUCUCUUGCACCUAUCUUAGCCGUCUUUCUUCCAUCCUGAAGAGACAUGCAUCUCUGUGGUGGCUCCUCCCUCCCCAAGGUCAUCGUGGCUGACUUGGGACCUUUCCCAGCUCUGUGUGUCUGUCUUGAAACACAGUUUAUCUUCUCUCCAUUGGUGCAUCCCAUAAGUGGCAAAGGCAAAAGCUGGACUGCAUUGUGUGGCCCCAGGGAGCUGCAGACAGAGGAACUGAGUCCUGGCCACUGUGCCUGCUGUCUCUUACAAGUUUAGAGAUGCUGGCAUUGCAUCGAAAUCGGACAACACUCCCUUCCCUCCCUUCCCAGAGCCGACAUCAGGAGAGGAAGAGAAAUGGGAAACUGAGGGCCAGGAGGGAAUUUGGGAACAUUUUCAAAUCCACCUACAGCUGUCAGCAGGACGCCGGCUCCCUAAACAGCUGUGGGUACAAAGGAUCCUGAAAUCCACUCCAAAAACUUAGAUCUCCCUCCCAGCUGCUUUGCAGGGCUCGGGGAGUUAAUGAUGAAGUUCUUCCUUAUGUCGAGCGCAGAGCUCCAGCCUUCUGAUUGGAUGAGUGCUGAAGAUUAGAAAACGGCUUCUUCGGAGGAACUCCAGAGACAUACUGCUGAGAAAAUGAAGUCAGCCAUUCACGAGAAUAUACCGUAUGAUUUGGCGUGAUUCUGUAGGGUUUCUGCACUUUAAUCCCUUUGUGAUCGCCGUAAAUAUGUUACAGGAAAGGGGUCCAGAUCCAGACCCCAAGAGAGGGUUCUCGGAUCU